AUCGCCUUGGCUGUGCUAGAAAGAUCACGCAAGAAACAAUGUGCAAGAAUUUCAAAUCUUAAAGAAGGGGACGCCAAUACAAAAUUCUUCCAUCGCCGAGUCACCGCUAGGAGGAGAAAAAACCAUAUUCACAGGAUCAAGAAUGAUCAUGGUUGGGUCACCGAGCAC
rnacentral:rRNA from 1 species